CAAGCAUGGCACUAACAUCUGCUUGGCAUGAGCCACCACACCCGGCCAGAAUUUUAUUUUUAGUGACUAGGCUUUCCUUUAAAACCUCUGUACUAGGCCGGGUGCAGUGGCUCGCGCCUGUAAUCCCAGCACUUUGGGAGGCUGAGGUGGGAGGAUCACUUGAGCCCAGGAGUUUGAGACCAGCCUGGGCAACAGAGUGAAACCCCAUCUCUUUAAAAAAAUAAAGCACUUGAAGCAGAACUUUUUAUCUGUCAUAAUCACUGCUAUGUCCACAGCACCUAAAACAGUCCCAGACAUCUGUUGAAUAAAUGAAUGAAUGAGGUGGGAAGUCUUUCUUUACACUUAGAUGAAAACUCCAUCGGACCCCAAAUUGUUCUGGUCUUGUUCAGCUGGGAUCCAAGAAGACCCUGUGGCUGGCUACUCUUCUGUAUUUUCAUUUAUCUCCACCCCCAGUUUACCAGCAGUGGUUAUCCUCUCUCCAAGACUGGGCCAGGGGUGAGAAGGGCAGUCUUACCAGGCAAGGGUCUUUGCUGACAGAUGUCUGGGCCUUCUUGACAGCAGGUGUUUAAAGCUGAAUCUGGUUCUACUUUCAGGAGAGUGAUGGUUUGAGAUGGUAACUGAAGUUGUAGAAGUAGAUGUUGAGGAUGAAGUAUCAUAUUAAUAAAACAUUGCCCAUUAACACCUUAGCACAAAUUAAAACUAGCUAUACCUCACUGAUAAGGACCUGAAUGGCUAAAUAAUGAUGAAUGAUUUAUGGAUGUAGCGGGGAACUGGGUGGAAGCAGUAGUAAGAAAUUUGAAUUAAGGAAUCGUAAGGGAAUCGAGAUUAUCUAGUUUCCCCUCGACAUUUUAUAACUGAAUAAACAAUAAAAAACAAGAGAAGUGACAGCUUUAUAGCAUCUGAUUGGGGAAAAACACAUCUUUUCUGGGGCUAGACAGUCCAUAAAUAGGACUUGGAAAUGGAAGUGUAGGGGGAGAUCCCAUUGUACUUCAGUGGAAAACUAUGCAUUGUCUGGAAUCUAGACUCUGGACAAAGACCCUUCCUUCCUGGCUGUUUGAUUUUGAUUCUAUGGGAGCUAUCUUGCAACUCUGUAAGCUGUAGGUAACUGAUAGCAGAGCAAAAUAAUUCUUGUCUAUAGACGUGUACAUUGUGUCUUAGCGUAGAUUCACCCG
rnacentral:lncRNA from 10 species